UGGGGAAUUUUGGACAAUGGGCGAAAGCCUGAUCCAGCAAUGCCGCGUGUGUGAAGAAGGCCUUCGGGUUGUAAAGCACUUUUGUCCGGAAAGAAAUCCUUGGCUCUAAUACAGUCGGGGGAUGACGGUACCGGAAGAAUAAGCACCGGCUAACUACGUGCCAGCAGCCGCGGUAAUACGUAGGGUGCAAGCGUUAAUCGGAAUUACUGGGCGUAAAGCGUGCGCAGGCGGUUUGCUAAGACCGAUGUGAAAUCCCCGGGCUCAACCUGGGAACUGCAUUGGUGACUGGCAGGCUAGAGUAUGGCAGAGGGGGGUAGAAUUCCACGUGUAGCAGUGAAAUGCGUAGAGAUGUGGAGGAAUACCGAUGGCGAAGGCAGCCCCCUGGGCCAAUACUGACGCUCAUGCACGAAAAGCGUGGGGAGCAAAACAGGAUUAGAUACCCUGGUAGUCCACGCCCUAAAACGAUGUCAACUAGUUGUUGGGGAUUCAUUUCCCUAGUAACGUAGCUAACGCGUGAAGUUGACCGCCU
rnacentral:rRNA from 1 species